GAUGAACGCUGGCGGCGUGCCUAAUACAUGCAAGUCGAGCGAACAGACGAGGAGCUUGCUCCUCUGACGUUAGCGGCGGACGGGUGAGUAACACGUGGAUAACCUACCUAUAAGACUGGGAUAACUUCGGGAAACCGGAGCUAAUACCGGAUAAUAUAUUGCACCGCAUGGUUCAAUAGUGAAAGACGGUUUUGCUGUCACUUAUAGAUGGAUCCGCGCCGCAUUAGCUAGUUGUUAAGGUAACGGCUUACCAAGGCAACGAUGCGUAGCCGACCUGAGAGGGUGAUCGGCCACACUGGAACUGAGACACGGUCCAGACUCCUACGGGAGGCAGCAGUAGGGAAUCUUCCGCAAUGGGCGAAAGCUUGACGGAGCAAGGCCGCGUGAGUGAUGAAGGUCUUCGGAUCGUAAAACUCUGUUAUUAGGGAAGAACAAAUGUGUAAGUAACUAUGCACGUCUUGACGGUACCUAAUCAGAAAGCCACGGCUAACUACGUG
rnacentral:rRNA from 1 species